rnacentral:rRNA from 1 species
ACGAACGCUGGCGGCAGGCCUAACACAUGCAAGUCGAGCGCCCUUUCGGGUGAGCGGCGGACGGGUGAGUAACGCGUGGGCAUAUGCCCUUCUCUACGGAAUAGCCUCGGGAAACUGAGAGUAAUACCGUAUACGCCCUGUGGGGGAAAGAUUUAUCGGGGAAGGAUUAGCCCGCGUUGGAUUAGGUAGUUGGUGGGGUAAUGGCCUACCAAGCCGACGAUCCAUAGCUGGUUUGAGAGGAUGAUCAGCCACACUGGGACUGAGACACGGCCCAGACUCCUACGGGAGGCAGCAGUGGGGAAUCUUAGACAAUGGGGGCAACCCUGAUCUAGCCAUGCCGCGUGAGUGAUGAAGGCCUUAGGGUUGUAAAGCUCUUUCAGCUGGGAAGAUAAUGACGGUACCAGCAGAAGAAGCCCCGGCUAACUCCGUG